ensembl:lncRNA
UGCUACUUUAAUAGCUUAGUGGUUAGUUCAUAAAUGUGAAAACUGUUAAUAUUUUAAUUUGACUAGAUGUGCCCCUUCCGUAUAAAUAUGACAGGUGUGAAGGUCCUAACCACUUUUCAGUAAACUUUGUAAAUGUUCGCCAGCCGUGGAUCCCCUCAAAGUCCCCAAGCAGCUGCUCUGAUUCUACCUGAUCUUGACACCUACCUCAAAAUCAGCAUCUGAAGUAACCAUGGCUUAGGGUUAUUAGUUCAGCUCACCUUAAGUAUGUGAAAGGUAAGGGAGGUUAGAAACCUCCCUACAGCACACGUUUCCUUGGGUCCUACCUGCCCUGCUAAAUCAGUCAUCACUGAAGCCAAGGUCUUGUUCCUGAAGUAAACUUGACACCUACCUCAAUUUGGGAAUUGUCAGGUGAUAAAACACUAUCAAUAGUCUAUGGUUUUUUGUUUUGUUUUUGUUUUUGGUACUGGGGAUCAAACUUGAGACCUUGCACUUGCGAGGCAGGAGGCAGAACCACUGAGCUAAAUCCCCACGUUAAAAUCCCCAAACAUGGCAAUAUUCCAUGUUUUGAAGAUCAUUGUCCUCAGAAACACGAAGGCAUGGUAAAUGUAAAUACCCAUUUCACAUGGAGGAUCGUUUUUAGCAGCAAGAGUAGUUUUUCAUAAAUCACCCAUGGGAGCAAAUAAAGCAUGACAAAGGUCACGGACAACACAACCUCCACUCCCACGGGUGGAUACAGUGGGCUCUCCAGGAGGGGCUCAGGGCGGGCACUGACUGACUGCAGGAAGCCUGCUUUCUGGGUGAAGUGGUGUUUGUCCUGCAGCUGGCUCGGGUCCUCAGUCUCGGGAGGUGAUGGGGUGUGCUCAUGGGAGAGGUGGCACACUGAGGGGACCUGGGGUGAGAAGCGCGGGAUUAACUACACUGUGGAGAAUGAGUGGGUCAUCCUCGCCUCUCCAGUGUGAUUAGUCAGGCCCACGAGGGAGGGGUUAACCAUGUCAGUGGCAGGACAGAGGCAUGCUGAAGGCUGUGACCCUUCAGGGACAGGAAACUCACAGGCAGGCCGUAGGGCCCUCUGGGUCCUGGCUCUCCCACAGCUCCUUUUUCUCCCUAAAAUGAAAAGUGGAAAGUCUAAUUCAUACAUGUGCAUCUGUGAAGAAUGGUAAAAAAUAUGGUGAAUGUUUAUAUUUAAAGGUAUUACAGUAAGGACACAUUGCUGUGAAUCCUUCUCAAAAUAUCCUCCCUUGCUUCAAGCACACUUAUCCUAACCUCAUUCUUGCCACUUUCUGCAGCAGCUCUGGAGUCCUCUUCUCUGAAUGUCUCUGGUUGUACUGUCCUGGUUGCCUGGAUAUCUUGAAUUGAUCCACAACAUUGACCUCUCAAGGUCAGAUUGACUUUAGGGAAGAGCCAGGAGUUGCAGGGCAGCAGAUCCAGUGAUGGGGGUGGAUAGGACACACUGUAGUUUUUAUGAACCCUCCUUUCCACUGGAUGGCAGCGGCAGCAGCAUUCAGAGGAUUUUGAUCACAUCUCAUAAUUUCAGUGGGACUUGGCCUGUUAUUUAUGAUUUUUAAAACAGCAGGGAAACCGGGCUUAAAGGCGAGGUCAAGAGCCCGGAGAAGGCUUAGUUGGAAAUAACCCUACAGAUGACGGUGGGUCUGGUUUGGAAAAUCUCCACUGAUUACCUCGAUAUCACCACUCCCUUCCCCUCCUCCAGAGAACUUUGUCUUUAUUUUGUUCUUAAAUAUGCUGUGGUUUCUCUGAAUAAAUGAGUCACUAAAACGUUACUCUGUGAAACCCCUCCUGGGGAUUAGCCCACCCCCGCCAUGACUCAGCUUCAAGGCCACCCUGCUUCUCUGGCCAUGCCCGGCGCUCCGGGGAAGGUGUUCUUCCGCCCGGAAAGGAGGCCUGGGGAGUCUACCUCUGGCCCUCUCCCGAGGGGUGCUCAGAGCUUGCCUAGUCGGAACACAAAGCUAGAGCCGCCCUCUGACUAUUUUGUUAUAUGAAACAACAGAUUUCUUCAUCAUUUAAACCAUUUUGAGUUUAGGUUCCGCCUCUGCUAAAGCAAAUGGCACCAUCGCGAUUCCAGCUGGAAUAUGCUUGGGAAGGAAGCAGUGACACAAGUGUGUGAAUGUGUGACUUCCUGUCCUGGGUGAGGAAUGCUGAAGGACUUUGAGCCUCUCCACCUUAAUGCACUGCAGAGUUCGAAGCAGGUGCGAGGGCACAGGACUGGCUUCCAAGGACGGAAGAGGCUUCGGGUGCUCAGACCUGACAACGAGGGGCUGUCACUCACAUUUGGGAAUGGCGGAUCGGGCUGGGAUGCCUCCUUCCUCUUCGGCUGGGCUCAUUUCCUGCAGUGCUUUCUUUGCUGCCCUGGGAAAUCGUUCUGGGAUGCCUCCUUUUGCUGAUUUCUGUCUCUUUCAAAUCUCAAACUUCAAGAGUCUCCCAGCUGGCACCACGUUUAACUCUGAGAGUCACUCUCUAGUUUGGCACUUUGGGUGAGGGGCACUUGGCCAGGACUGACACACGACACCCGGAACACUUCACACUCACGCCAUGUGCCUGCAACUGCGCCUUCAGAAAUUCUCAGCGACUUCAUUUGCUUUUGGGGCUAAUCCUGCCCGGCACGGAGACCUGAUACUCUUGUGACACCGAGGAGCAAUCGGAAGUAGCAGCUGAUUUACCCAACGGUAAACCUCUUGAGCCCCGGCAGUCUGCCAAAAGAUUUGCUGCUCCAGUUUUAGUACAGGGGCUCAGUUACUUCAUGCAGUGCUCGGAGCGCAUCUGCCUUGGUCAAGCCGAGGCUCUUAGCUUUUAAAUGUUUAAUUAAGAUGAUCCUGAGAAGCUGUCAGUUUGAUCUGAGAAAUGAGACAGCAGUGGGUUCCAAUUUGGUGUUGCUUCUGGACUCAUCUAUUUGGAGAACUGUUCUUAGAUAUGUCAGUCGCCAUCGUGUGCACACCCCGGUACUUGUUUUCUCUUUGGCCUUAUUCUCUGCUUAUUUCUUGCAUACACCUUUUUUCCUUCUCUGAAAUUACUGUAAACUCUCAGAGGUCAGGGAAAAUAGCUGCUUUCUUUGCAACAGUGAAUAUAAGCAUUAAAAAAGACCAAGAUAAUGAAUCAGUUAUAAUGGUGGUGUUCAGUGCAGACAGGCAAGAUAGGCUUCAUGUAAACAGGAGGAGUUUCCAUUUCACACUUCAAGUAGUACUAUGCUUCGCACAUAGUAGCAUUGGGCAAAUAUUUAUUACAUCAGUGAAUUCACUUUAUAGGACACAGAAUCAGGGGAUUGAGAGGCAUAUCAAAGAAAUCACUACCAAGCCCUCUUUCUUAAAAACCUGUUUCCGGGCUGAUGAAAAUGAUCUCGUUUUAAAAAGACCAUAGACGUGCAGAGUGACUCAUUCCAACGCUUUGAAACACUCUUGUAAGAUACUUUCUUUUAUGUCCUCUCCUAGGUGAUGGGGAAAUUGAUGACACAACUCUAUUCAGAUACGCAAAAUGCUUCCAUGGUUUUCAAGGAGAGGAAAACAAAGCCUGGGAGACAGGAAGACAGCUGCUGAUGCCGCAUGUCCCUCUGUGUCGGACAUUUAGCUCAUCCGCAGCAUCUUUUUCCUUUUUCUCUCCUAAGGACGUGGACACGUGUCCUAGCCAUAGAGAGUACUAACUUGUGGAAAAAGUGAACACUUUAGAAAACUGGGCCUGGAACGUGACAGGGACCCGGAGGCUACCGCUGUGUCUAAACUGCUCAUGCCGAGGGACACCGCAAGCUCAAGCUGCUGGCCGAACGGCCGUCCAAACACCCCAGGCAGGAACCGUGCUUCUCUCUCUCUGCAUUUUACCAGGAGGAAAGUGGGAAGCCCGAAAAAUGGGCUGAACUGGAGACAUUUUGUACAAACUGAUGAUAGGUACCUCAGUAGUAAAAAAUAGCAAUUGUAGCAAAGGAUCCACAGAAGUGAAGACCCCCAACGUUAGGUCACAUUAGUGCAAUCAUGAGGGUGGGAAAAUAAUUCCAACAAGCCCAGAACUGAGGGAAGUGUUCAAAAUGUUCACUGGCUCAGCCCUGACCCCAAGGCAUAUACCUACAUGCCCAGAAAAUAGAAGCAUGAUACAUGUUUUCAGUCACCAAGAAAUUUACAAUCUAGUAAGGCCUUAAUGUUAAAAUCAAUUAUGUGAUUUGAGAACAAUUAAAUAUUAACCUACUGGCCCUGACUACUAAUGUUGGAAAGGAUUGCACUGUAUGGCAGCAGUUGACUUUAGGAUAAUAUUUACAUGACAAGAAAGGAAAAAAGAAGAUUUGUACAGAUAUAAGAAUGACUAAACCAGGGAAAACUGCUGUAGAGAAAUAAAACAACCUGCACGAGAGCAGAAUUACAGGGCCUUAAAUGUCAGAUGGAGGAAUUGUGGCUUGAUAGAGUAGGCCACAGGGCAUCAUUCAUUAAAGUAAUGGCAGUUUAUGAAAAUCAGCCGUAGAGUAACCCAUAGGUUGGACUAGACUGGCAGGAGGGCAAGAGGGGAAGAGGAGCUGGCCUAGAGGUUGUGGUCUUGUUAGGAAUGAAGAAAACAGGAUGUGGCCCUCAUUAGGAAUGGAGAGAGGGUGGCGUCAAGAAACAUUUUGAGAAAAAUAGCCCCUGGUGAGUGAGAUGGAAUGGACAGGACACUGGGAAUAGUUUUAAAGUGGUGCUAAAGUUUUUACCCCGAGAAACACCCAGACUCAUGACAUCACUAAUAGCGACUGGUUAAUUAAGGAAAGGAAUCACUUGGUAGGUGGGAGAGGUAACGGGC